GUGCUCGCAUUGGCAGCACAUAUACUAAAAUUGGAACAACACGGAAAAGAUUAGCAUGGCCCCUGCAUAGGGAUGACACGCAAAUUCAUGAAGCCUUCUAUAUCUUU
ensembl:snRNA U6 U6 spliceosomal RNA